GAUGAACGCUGGCGGCGCGCCUAACACAUGCCAUUCGAACGAUUAAAGCACCUUCGGGUGUGUAUAAAGUGGCGAACGGCUGAGUAACACGUGGGCAACCUGCCCCUCUCAUUGGGAUAGCCACGGGAAACCGUGGAUAAUACCGAAUACUUCGGGACUUCCGCAUGGAAGACUCGAGAAAGCUCCGGCGGAGAGGGAUGGGCCCGCGGCCUGUUAGCUUGUUGGUGGGGUAAUGGCCUACCAAGGCAAUGAUGGGUAGCUGGGUUGAGAGACCGACCAGCCAGAUUGGGACUGAGACACGGCCCAGACUCCUACGGGAGGCAGCAGUGGGGAAUCUUGCACAAUGGGCGAAAGCCUGAUGCAGCGACGCCGCGUGCGGGAUGAAGGCCUUCGGGUUGUAAACCGCUUUCAGCAGGGACGAGGCGAAAGUGACGGUACCUGCAGAAGAAGCCCCGGCUAACUACGUG
rnacentral:rRNA from 1 species